AACGAACGCUGGCGGCAUGCCUAACACAUGCAAGUCGAACGAAGGCUUCGGCCUUAGUGGCGCACGGGUGCGUAACGCGUGGGAAUCUGCCCUUUGCUUCGGAAUAACAGUUAGAAAUGACUGCUAAUACCGGAUGAUGUCGCAAGACCAAAGAUUUAUCGGCAAAGGAUGAGCCCGCGUAGGAUUAGCUAGUUGGUGGGGUAAAGGCCUACCAAGGCGACGAUCCUUAGCUGGUCUGAGAGGAUGAUCAGCCACACUGGGACUGAGACACGGCCCAGACUCCUACGGGAGGCAGCAGUGGGGAAUAUUGGACAAUGGGCGAAAGCCUGAUCCAGCAAUGCCGCGUGAGUGAUGAAGUCCUUAGGGUUGUAAAGCUCUUUUACCCGGGAUGAUAAUGACAGUACCGGGAGAAUAAGCUCCGGCUAACUCCGUG
rnacentral:rRNA from 1 species